ensembl:lncRNA
AAAAAAAAAAUGCACAGAAUUAAAUUAUUUUUCAAGAAUAAUUAAAUAGAUUCAACAUCUUUCUUCAACAGAUUUGCAGACUGCACAGACGGUACCUUGUCAAAGAAAAAAGUACUAUAGCUUACUAGGGUAUAUUAGACUUAACAGUUACUAUAUACAGUAAUGGACUUCUAUACAUUUUACAUCAGAUUAAAACUUUGGGUGUAAGAUUCAGAUAAUUAUUUAUUAAAAGCUAGACAUUUUAAAUGAGAAUAAGAAAGAAAAGUAUGUCUUUGUGCCCCCUUUUCCCUGUUCAUGCCCUAUCGGCCCCCCUGGCUAAACUUUGCUAGAUCCGCCCCUGCACAGUUACCAGCCGUCAGCUACGUAGAAAAGGAUCCUGGUGUAGAAAGUAAUAUUAAAUAAAAAUUCUAACAGCAGCUUAUCAAGGUUAAACGUGCUGCUGUUGUUCAGCCGCUGGUUUCCUCUUUCUGGUGCAAAGUGGGCCAAAAACAAAGAAGAGAGACGGACUCGCGACAGAAAAGCCGAUCAGCUGAUCAUUAAGCAGUUUCACGAUUGAAGUAGCUGCAGGAAGGUGAGGGAGGGAGGGAGAAGAGGCACUCGCUCCAUAUAUCGGUUGUUAAGCUUAAGGUGGGAAUGCUUUACAAACAUUCAGAGAUGAACUUACACACUUGCUUUACUUCUCUCUGGGAUAACUUUCUCAGAGAUGAAAUGCUGGUUUGGUAGCGAGGCUACAAAUGCUCAACCAGACCCCCGACAGGUCUCACACGCCACAGCCACUCUAUCACGUGAUGCAUACUGCUCCGACGUGCUACGGUUAUGAGCCGAGUUACGCCGUGUCGCAAGUUUUGUGAGGUGUUUUUUUUAUAUUUAAUGUAUCGGAUUACAUUUUUUAUUUCUCACCGAUAUCCGAUCCAGUAAUUUACGUCAGUAUCGGACCGAUACCGAUACGUAAUAUCGGAUCGGUCCAUCUCUAAUGCAUACGUAUGCUUUCUUCAGCCUCCACCACCACUUCGUCUCCAGCCAGCAUCGUCUCACUCAAAAGGUGCGAUGGGUGCUUCCACUUACGAAAAUUUUCGACUUACCAAAGACCGUCGGGAACGGAUUAAUUUCUCCAAACAACAUGGAGAAAAAUGUUGUGUACUGCCUGCUGUGCAACGAGCCCCAGCUGUCCAUUUCGACUCACCUGAGCAGAGUGUGCCUCAAAGACGGCACAGCACAGGAGAGGGAGCAAGAAGCUUCCAGAGCUACUGCCUCCCAGGAGCUGUUUUCUAGGGAAGGUCGACUCUGGAGCUUCUCGGAGCUGCAGGAGUUUUGCAAGGACACAACAUCUUGCAUCAAACUCUGCAGUCGCCUUCAGAGUCGUGGCUUUAUCAUCACAGAUGCUCCCCAAACCUGGCCAACAGUGCUGCCAACACAGAGGUCUGAUAAGAAGGAAGUCCUCGCCGUGGCCAAAAAGGACAUCGAGUAUUUCCACCAAAAGCUUGCAGGCGGUGAUUGCAUCCCCAACGUUGCCAUGACAACGUUCAGGCAGUACUGCGAGGCCAUCCUGAUAUUACAGCACGGACUGACAGCAAGUGCUGUUCAGGAUUUUUCUGUGCAGGACUGGAUGGAGCGAAGGGAAAGCUUGAGGAUGACCAUCCAGGAAGAAGAACUGUUGGAGUGCUACUUUAAGAACAUCCGCCCAGUGUCCUUACGAAACCAAAGAGCUGGCAGUGAUGAUGGGGGCAGGUUCUUCCUGGGAGAAGGUGGGGUCCCUCUGACCAACCCAGGAUUAGAUGUAGGGCGCCUGAGGGCCAGAUACCUGCGCAGCGACACUGAGGAUCCUGCAGCUGGGUCAGCGUCACACUCAGCAGGAGGAGUAGAAACUUCGGGACAGGCCAGGUCCAUUUCCACAAAGCGCCUACCACUCAGAGAAUGGGAUGCCUUCCAGCGGACCUUCCCAGUAACCGUAAAUGGAGAGCCACCUUCAAAACGUCGGUGUGUACAGGCUGGUUUUCCACACUACCGAGCCCACUACCGCAAGUGGAGGGAGCAUCAGCUUAAGCAGAGAGUUCAGCACAUCCUCGGGUGUGUCAGAAGAGGCAACGCCCCUCAGCGUGCAAGAGUACAGAUGGCAUUAGAUAAGGAGACCUGGUUCACCAACAAGCCCACUGUUGAUGCCGUCCUACAGGCCUGGGUUGCUCCACAGCCCAGGAUCCAGGACAGCCAGUCCCUCAUGUCCUCGAUUUCAGAGCAGAAAUGGAAGGGCCUGUCGUUGAAGGACUUUAGGGAGGAAAAGGGCAAAGGUGUGAUCGCCCUGAUGCCCUUCAACAAAGGAGACGUCGUCUGCGACUACCACGGGACGUGCAUCACCAAAGCUGCAGGGAAUCGGAGGCGGCAGUCGGGGUCUCUCUUCUUCUACAGGGACGAGUGCCACAGGGUUGAUGCCACUGCGUCCCCCUGUGCCUGCCACCUGCACAAGGACUCCUAUGGAAGGCAAAUCAACCAUUGCCAAAGGAAUCCAAACGUGAGGCCACAAAGGUUCACAAUGAACUUCCCUGCUGGUCCUCGGGAGAGUGUGCUGUUCAUCGCCCUGAGGGACAUCGCGGUUGGAGAGGAACUCCUGUGGGACUAUGGAGUCUAG